rfam:Jatropha curcas cultivar GZQX0401 scaffold465_40, whole genome shotgun sequence.
UUGGGGCAAAUGAUGAAUCUCAUAUUUUUAAUGGGUAAUUUGCGACUGAAUUAUAUCAUUGAUGCUAUUUCACCUUGGAGAACUGAUGCCCUUU